rnacentral:lncRNA from 10 species
GAUAUGUGAUGUGAGAGAAAGAGAGGAAUCAGGGAUGACUUUGAGAUUUCUGGCUUAAGCAACUGGCAAGUAGGAGUUUUUAAUCAACUGAGGUGGGGAAGACUGUGGGUAGACUAAGUUUUGGGUGAGAAGAGCAGGAUUCAGUCAGGGGAACGGAAGGGCAGGCUCUCUGUACCAGCACUCAGUAUGCAGUUUCAUAUCAAGUCAAAGGCUGUCUGAGACCAACACUGGUCUUUGAGAGUGGGAAGUUCAAGCAAGCAGAAGAUGACAAGUAGGUGUCGCUGGCUCUAAUGGAAGAUGGGCAAGAGAAGGCCUCUACAUUCUAGAAAGUGAACUUGCUAUGUGGUUUGCCUGGCAACGGACAGGGUGAGGUAAAUAAUGCCACAGAAGUUCCAGGAUGAAGGAUUACAAGAGGUUUGUAAGAAAACUCCAGGGGUACAGUGGUUCAGAAAUGGACAUAACAGCCUAGAGGAAGACCUGGGAGAAGCCCUUGAAUAACCAUUGGUCCAUUGUGCAUCUAGGGUCCUUAACAAAAAGAUAAAAGACAAGUGUAUAAUAUGUUGGAAAAAAAAUUUCCCAUUCCCACACAGAAACCUGGCUGUGAUAAAUACCAAGGAAUUCUAUGCCAGUUCACAGCAGUAAGAGUGCAGAAGUGCCAGGCUGAAGAGGCCAUGUCCAUCUGCUUAUUGCAAUUUCUUCCUGAAGAUUGUUUUUGGGUGCUUUAUCAAUUGUCCACAUUGUUCUGGGAGGGUAUACAAGCAAAUCAUCUAAAGAAGACCAAGAAUCAGAUUGACAUCAAAUUUCUAACAAGAAUCAGAAUGAUAUCAGAUUUCUCAAUAGUAGCAAUGCAUACAAAAAGAUAAUGAAGAAAUAAUUUUAAAGAAGAUAAGUAACACUGAAUUUAUAAUUUUAUAUCCAUCCAAACUGUU